rnacentral:rRNA from 1 species
AUUGAACGCUGGCGGCAGGCCUAACACAUGCAAGUCGAACGGAGUGGCGGACGGGUGAGUAAAACCUAGGAAUCUGCCUGGUAGUGGGGGAUAACGUCCGGGAACGGGCGCUAAUACCGCAUACUCUAAGAUGAGCCUAGUGCGGGUUAGCUAGUUGGUGGGGUAAAGGCCUACCAAGGCGACGAUCCGUAACUGGUCUUGGAGGAUGAUCAGCCACACUGGAACUGAGACACGGUCCAGACUCCGACGGUAGGCAGCAGUGGGGAAUAUUGGACAAUGGGCGAAAGCCUGAUCCAGCCAUGCCGCGUGUGUGAAGAAGGUCUUCGGAUUGUAAAGCACUUUAAGUUGGGAGGCGUUACCAACAGAAUAAGCACCGGCUAACUUCGUGCCAGCAGCCGCGGUAAUUC